rnacentral:lncRNA from 1 species
CGCCUCUUCUCCCUCCACAGAUCCGCCGCCGCCGCCGCCUGCUCCAACCUCGGCGAGAAUCGCCGGCUCCGACGCCUCCCUCACCCAACGCCUUCCCUCUCUCACCAUACCCUCUCGCUCACCACCUCCCAUCUGCCCCUCUCUCUCUCUCUUGCGUACCCGACAGCAGACGGCCAAGGAAGGAGCGCCGCCAUCACUGCUGCUGCUGCUCCGUUCUCGGCCGCGUUAGUGGCGCCUGGCCUCCGGCCGCGCCACCUCGUUCAGCCGCCCCGGACUUCGCCGCCUUGCUCCGACUCUGUCUGCCUUGGCCGCGAGUGGCCGGCGGGCUGCUGCCAUGCAUGCAGCGCCGGCAGCCGCGGCCUUGACAGCCCGCGCCGAGCUCGGAUAGCCCCCCCUUUCUCCCUCUCAACGAUUCCUCGACUAUCACUCACCGGAGGAACAAAAGGAAUUUCAAAAUGUAAAGAUUUGAUUUUUGGUGUUUUGUAUUUCUGAAAUCUUUGAAGUUAUAAGAAAAGAAAGUUUAUGCCACUGCUGAGUUCUGAUUUGGGCGUCAAAAAUGGUUUCUUGAACAGUCCUUGCUGGGUUUAGUCGAUUGAGUCCUAAAGUUUGUGUUCUAGUCAUUGAGUUUUCUGUUAUGAUGUGGGUUUAGUAGUCUAUGAUCUUUCUUCUUUCUUCUUUUUCUUUUUUUUUUACAAAAUGGAAGAAAAUAUAGAAGGGAAUUUAUAAAUGUAUGGGAGUUGACCUUUCUUCUUGAGUGUUGCUGUCUUUUGUUUGAGAUUUUCUGUAACAAAAGGAAAAGAUCGCUUGGUUGUUCAUAUGAAAAAGACAAAAGAGAGAGUGAAUGAAGUUACUGAAUUUAGUUGGAGUCUUGAGCUUUUGUAAGCAGCAAUGAAGUAUUGACAGAUGUUGUUAGUAUUGAUUUCAUCCGGUCAUAAAAUUUCUGCAAUUGAAUGAAAGCAAAUUGAAUGGGAGAGAAGAAAUUAC